rnacentral:lncRNA from 1 species
UACCUGGAUCUUUUUUCGCUCCUUUUUUACAUCGACCAUAAAUACACUCCGUGCCAUCACAACACUGUCCAUUCUGAGUACAAGCAACGUUCUCUUUCAAGCAGUCCACGCACAUGAACAUGUGACAGAAUGAUUUUGGAUUUUUCUUGGUACAAUCUUCUUUAGUCUGACAUUCCAUGUGAUAAUAGCCUGGAGCUAGCAUUUGCUGCAGGGAAUGAGAUAAGGGAGCGGUCAUUAUUUAUGGCGGGGGGUGGCACCGAAGAGAAAAGGGUUGGGUAAACAAAAUUUUGAGUAACUAAAAGGUUGGGUAAAUGAAAAACAAAACAACUCAAGGGUUGGGUAAUAAAAAGUUAUUGUCAUUUCCAAAGCAUG